UACGGAGGGUGCAAGCGUUAUCCGGAUUUACUGGGUUUAAAGGGUGCGUAGGCGGGCAGGUAAGUCAGUGGUGAAAUCUUCGAGCUUAACUCGGAAACUGCCUUUGAUACUAUCUGUCUUGAAUAUUGUGGAGGUAAGCGGAAUAUGUCAUGUAGCGGUGAAAUGCUUAGAUAUGACAUAGAACACCAAUUGCGAAGGCAGCUUACUUCACGAUUAUUGACACUGAGGCACGAAAGCGUGGGGAGCAAACAGG
rnacentral:rRNA from 1 species